rnacentral:rRNA from 1 species
AACGAACGCUGGCGGCAUGCCUAACACAUGCAAGUCGAACGAGACCUUCGGGUCCUGUGGCGCCCGGGUGCGUAACGCGUGGGAACCUGCCCUUAGGUUCGGAAUACCUCUCCGAAAGGGGUGCUAAUACCGGAUCAUGUCUUCGGACCAAAGAUUUAUCGCCUUUGGAUGGGCCCGCGUUGGAUUAGCUAGUUGGUAGGGUAAAAGCCUACCAAGGCGACGAUCCAUAGCUGGUCUGAGAGGAUGGUCAGCCACACUGGGACUGAGACACGGCCCAGACUCCUACGGGAGGCAGCAGUGGGGGAUAUUGGACAAUGGGCGAAAGCCUGAUCCAGCAAUGCCGCGUGAGUGAUGAAGGCCGUAGGGUUGUAAAGCUCUUUUACCCGGGAUGAUAAUGACAGUACCGGGAGAAUAAGCUCCGGCUAACUCCGUG